rnacentral:lncRNA from 1 species
AUCCUUUGCCUGGGUUUGCUGUGUCCCAUGGCCACCCAGGGUCCUCCCGCCUGGAGGCUGGGUCCUGCGGGGACGGGGAGAGAGCCCCACUGGCCACACUGGGGCUGCCUCUCACCGUGGCUGACUCCGCCUGGAUCCCUCAUCUGUCAGGUACGGUUCUAGGCCCUGGGAAUCCACUGAUGAAGGAGGCAGAUAAAGACCCCUGGAGGCAGGAAGCCCAGAUUCUGGAAACGAGGACGUGCAGGCCCGUGAGCAUCUCCGUAUCUGUUGGACCCCUCCUGCCUCCAUCUGCAGGACUGGAGCUGGGGGGGUGGGGGUGGGCGGUAGGGUGCUGGGACUCCUCCGUGUCUAGCUUCCAGCUCUGGGCACAGAGGCAUCGGGAUGGGAGGGGAGCCGCGGAGCCCCGGGUUCUGGUCCCACUCUGCCUCUGACAAUCCUGGGGAAAGCUGAGCGUCACUUUCCCAGCUGUACCACGGAGAGGGCGGUGGGGGGUUUGAUGAUACCUCGGCCCUGUGCCUUGUCCUACCUUCUGCUCCACCUCUGAUAAGCUGGUGCUGCCUUUUCCUCAGCAGGUCUGUUGACAUAAAUGUCACACACCAAACGACUCACCUCUUUAAAGUGUACGACUAGGGAGCUCCCUCCAUGGCUCAGUGGUUAACGUAUCUGACGAGCACCCAUGAGAACGCAGGUCUGAUCCCUGGCCUUGCUCAGUGGGUUAAGGAUCCAGCGUUGCUGUGAGCUGUGGUGUAGGCAGGCGGCUACAGCUCUGAUUCGACCCCUAACCUGGGAACCUCCAUAUGUCACAGGUGCGGCUCUAAAAAGAAAAGAAAACAAAACAAAACAAAGUGAGACUCAGUGAUUUCCGUGUAUGUUCACAGGGCUGUGCAGCCAUGACCACAGUGGAGAGAAUGUCAUUGUCACCCCCCAAAAAGAAGCACACGCUCCCUAGCAGUCUCUCUCUCUGCCCCCCACACCCCUGCCACUCAUCUAUUUUCCGUCUCUAUGGGUUGACCUGUUCUGGACAUUUCAUAGAAAAGGAAUUACGCAAUUUAUGGUCUUUUGUGUCUUCUUUCUUUCAUUCACCAUAAAGUUUCCAAGGUUCUUCUAAGUUGUGUAUUCACUCACUGGCGCUGUGUCCUUUUUAUGGUGAUAGGCUGGUUCUUUGAGGUCUGAGGCCCCUCUCUUCUGCUUGAUUAAGCUCCUCCAGGAGAGCUGUGUGUGUGGUCUGGGUCUCCUAGAGGUCCUUUGGUUUCAAUCCUGAUAUUAAAAAGGUCUCUCCAGGGGAGUUCCCGCUGUGGCCCAGUGGGUUACGAUGCUGACUGCAGCAACUCAGGUUGCUGAAGAGGCAUUCUGACCCCCAGCCAGUGGGUUAAAGGAUCCAGCAUUUCAGCAGCUGUGGCGUAGUGGCAGCUCGGAUUCGACCCCUAGUCUGGGAACUUCCACAUGUUGAGGAAUGCAGCUGUAAAACAAACAAACAAACAAAGAAACAAAAAAAAUGGGUCUUUUAAGGACUUCCCGGGUAGCCUAGUGGUUAAAGAUCUGGUGUCGUCACUGCUGUGGUGUGGGUUCAAUCCCUGGCCCAGGAACUUCUGUGUGCCACGGGGUGGCAUAAACAAACAAGCAAUUAAAAGGUCUCUCCAAGGUCUUGCUGGCUUUCCUGAUGGGGGAGAGUGCUCUUCUUCCUCCUCUCUCCCCUCCUCCAGCCAGGCUGGACAGUCUGUGAUAGAAUAUGUGUCUUGGGAAUCUUUGCAGAAGCCUAUAUUCUCUUCUGUCCUGCAUGUGGAAGACUAUUCUUUUGUUCUUUCAUUUGUUAAUUUAUCCAUCCAUCCAUCAUCCAUCCAUCAUCCAUCCAUCAUCCAUCAUCCAUCCAUCAUCCAUCCAUUAUCCAUCCAUCAUCCAUCCAUCCAUCCAUUAUCCAUCCAUCAUCCAUCCAUCAUCCAUCCAUCCAUUCAUCAUCCAUCCAUCAUCCAUCCAUCAUCCAUCCAUCCAUUCAUCAUCCAUCAUCCGUCCAUCCAUCUGUCAUUCCUCCAUCCAUCAUUCAUCCAUCCAUCCAUCCAUCAUUCACCCAUCCACCCAUUCAUUCAACCUCCAUCUAUCCAUCCAUCAUCUGUUCAUCCAUCCAUCAUCCAUCCAUUAUCUGUCCAUCCAUCUAUCAUUCCCUCAUCCAUCAUUUAUCCAUCCAUCAAUCCAUCCAUUUUUAUCUUCAUUCAACACGUAUUUACUGAACACCAACAACAGGGCUGGGGGAAGAAUUGUGGAGGAAUCAGACAUGAGGGGAGAGAAGAGCAGGUGAUAAAUAGAAACAGGUGAAUGCAAGAAUUCCAACUGGAGUCAGUGAGGAGCAUACAUAGACAAUGAUGUAGUAGGGGAAAGAGCUUGCGGUGUAGCCGUGGUCGCCCUGCCGCCCUGCCCACCUGAAACUCCACGGCCAGUCUUGACGCCAGCUCUGGUCUGCCUCUGCCCGUCUAUACCCUGCUCCCUUCCCCCCACACCUGCGAGCAAACGUCCUGAGAGCAAAUCACAGUCGUCACUCACCGGAUCUGUGACUGCUCCAGCAUGGCGCUGAAAAACAAGGAAACCUUGAAAGGUCCACCAUUUCAUUUUAAAAGUCCGCCAUGAUCAUUCCUACAAGUAAUAAACAGUAAUUCCUU